CACAAUAUUACGGGGGGCCGGACCCCAAAACUGCUUGCAGCUUUGGACCCGCCCUGUCUGAUAUUCUACCCAUGUCUUUUGCGUACUUUUCGUUUCCUUGGUGGGCUUGCCUGCCAAUAGGACAACCAAUAAAACCUUUUUGUAAUUGCAAUCAGCGUCUGAAAAACUUUUAAUAGUUA
rnacentral:misc_RNA from 1 species